UUGUGUAAUGGUCUUCUUUUCCAUUAUAAAGCUUAAAAAACCCUCUUUAAUUAAAGAAAUAAUACAGCCCCAGCCCACGCAACCAGAGCCCACACUGUCUGGCAUGAGAAGGCUCAGUUUUGGAACUGGAAAGUUGAGAGCCAGCAGAAUGCAGAGUUUUUUGUGGAAAUGGCAAGCGGAGAGGUUUCCAAGGUUCAGUGGUGAGAUGGGAUUCCUUCUUUUAGAUCAUCUGUCUAUUUCUGACGUGUAGUGUUGAGGAUUAUGGCACGCAGACAAAAUGUUGGAAGAAAGUCUCCCUCCAAGCCACCAUCUCAAUCUCUCAAUUCUCCUAGUCCCAGCCAACCAACAAAAGAAGACCGGGAGAAAUUGGGAAUCUACUCAACCAACCGUCCCUCAGGAGAAGAAGGCUAAAGAGACCAUGCAAGGGACUAUCAGACCUAACUAGACCAAAUGAAUGCUCACUGCUUGCUAACUGUUCUCAAGUGACUAACUUCCUUUGCUAACUGCUAAAGCUAAAAAACCCAAGUGGAGAGUUCUAUCUGGAUAUUCCCUUGUGUUUUGCCCUUGUUAAAGAAAUGUGAGAACUGCAUUGAUGGAUUCUCGUGGAGAUUAUGGAUUCCUUGUGGAGAAGAGGCACGUAACCUUGUUGGAGUACAAUGCUAGCCCACACAUGACUUCGUUUCUGAAACUGGCAACAGAGAAAACAGGCGUUGAUAUUUGAUUAACUUGGCUGUCCAUUGUUGAUACUAUAACAACAAAUGUAACCUUAGCUUUUGGUUGGAGAUUGUGGGAUGUUCUUUGUAAUCAUGUGAGAAAUGAUUCACAAAAGGCAAAAAGAAAAUGGACACAGAAUUGGAAUCU